GCAGCCGCCGCGGGAAUACGGAGGGUGCAAGCGUUAAUCGGAAUUACUGGGCGUAAAGUGCACGCAGGCUGUUUGUUAAGUCAGAUGUGAAAUCCCCGAGCUUAACUUGGGAACUGCAUUUGAAACUGGCAAGCUAGAGUCUUGUAGAGGGGGGUAGAAUUCCAGGUGUAGCGGUGAAAUGCGUAGAGAUCUGGAGGAAUACCGGUGGCGAAGGCGGCCCCCUGGACAAAGACUGACGCUCAGGUGCGAAAGCGUGGGGAGCAAACAGGAUUAGAUACCCCUGUAGUCCCUGUCUCUUAUAC
rnacentral:rRNA from 1 species